rnacentral:rRNA from 1 species
UGGGGAAUCUUGGACAAUGGGCGCAAGCCUGAUCCAGCCAUGCCGCGUGAGUGAAGAAGGCCUUCGGGUUGUAAAGCUCUUUUACCAGGGACGAUAAUGACGGUACCUGGAGAAUAAGCCCCGGCAAACCUCGUGCCAGCAGCCGCGGUAAUACGAAGGGGGCUAGCGUUGUUCGGAAUUACUGGGCGUAAAGCGCACGUAGGCGGAUUGUUAAGUCAGAGGUGAAAUCCCGGAGCUCAACUUCGGAACUGCCUUUGAUACUGGCAAUCUAGAGUCCGGAAGAGGUUAGUGGAAUUCCCAGUGUAGAGGUGAAAUUCGUAGAUAUUGGGAAGAACACCAGUGGCGAAGGCGGCUAACUGGUCCGGUACUGACGCUGAGGUGCGAAAGCGUGGGGAGCAAACAGGAUUAGAUACCCCAGUAGUCCCUGAGCGGGCUGGCAAGGCGCAU